UGGUUCAAGUGUAGUGGUGUCUACAGUUAAUCGAUUAAAGUCAGU
rnacentral:scRNA from 1 species